UCCCUUGUAGCUUAGUUGGUAAAGAAUCUUCCUGCAACGCAGGAGACCUGGGUUCGAUUCCUGGGUUGGGAA
rnacentral:tRNA from 1 species